AGGGCACCACCAGGAGUGGAGCCUGCGGCUUAAUUUGACUCAACACGGGAAAACUCACCCGGCCCGGACACUGGAAGGAUUGACAGAUUGAGAGCUCUUUCUUGAUUCAGUGGGUGGUGGUGCAUGGCCGUUCUUAGUUGGUGGAGUGAUUUGUCUGGUUAAUUCCGAUAACGAACGAGACUCUAGCCUACUAAAUAGAUCGUCGGCUUACAGACGCCGACGAGACUUCUUAGAGGGACAGGCGGUGAUUCAACCGCACGAAACAGAGCAAUAACAGGUCUGUGAUGCCCUUAGACGUCCGGGGCCGCACGCGCGCUACACUGAAGUGAUCAGCGUGCUUUUGUCAACCUACUCUGUCAAGAGUGGGGAACCCAAUGAACCUUCUUCGUGAUUGGGAUAGGGGAUUGUAAUUAUUCCCCUUGAACGAGGAAUUCCCAGUAAGCGCGAGUCAUAAGCUCGCGUUGACUACGUCCCUGCCCUUUGUACACACCGCCCGUCGCUACUACCGAUUGAAUGUUU
rnacentral:rRNA from 1 species